rnacentral:rRNA from 1 species
AUUGAACGCUGGCGGCAUGCCUUACACAUGCAAGUCGAACGGCAGCGCGGGGCAACCUGGCGGCGAGUGGCGAACGGGUGAGUAAUAUAUCGGAACAUACCCUAGAGUGGGGGAUAACGUAGCGAAAGUUACGCUAAUACCGCAUACGCACUAAGGUGGAAAGUGGGGGAUUCGCAAGAACCUCAUGCUCAUGGAGUGGCCGAUAUCUGAUUAGCUAGUUGGUGAGGUAAAGGCUCACCAAGGCGACGAUCAGUAGCUGGUUUGAGAGAACGACCAGCCACACUGGAACUGAGACACGGUCCAGACUCCUACGGGAGGCAGCAGUGGGGGAAUUUUGGACAAUGGGGGCAAGCCUGAUCCAGCAAUGCCGCGUGCAGGAUGAAGG